rnacentral:rRNA from 1 species
GGUGAGUAACGCGUGGGUGACCUACCUUGAGGAUGGGGAUAGCUGUUAGAAAUAGCAGGUAAUACCGAAUACGUUCACAAUAUUAUGAUUAUGUGAAGAAAGGAGCUACGGCUCCGCCUUGAGAUGGGCCCGCGUCCCAUUAGCUAGUUGGUGAGGUAAAGGCCCACCAAGGCGAAGAUGGGUAGCCGGCCUGAGAGGGUGAACGGCCACACUGGGACUGAGAUACGGCCCAGACUCCUACGGGAGGCAGCAGCUAAGAAUAUUCCACAAUGGACGAAAGUCUGAUGGAGCGACGCCGCGUGGAUGACGAAGGCCGAAAGGUUGUAAAAUCCUUUUGCGGAUGAAGAAUAAGCGGUGGAGGGAAUGCCAUCGUGAUGACGUUAGUCCGCGAAUAAGCCCCGGCUAAUUACGUGCCAGCAGCCGCGGUAACACGUAAGGGGCAAGCGUUGUUCGGAAUUAUUGGGCGUAAAGGACGCGUAGGCGGCCGCGUAAGUCUGAUGUGAAAACCCCGGGCUCAACCCGGGAACUGCAUUGGAAACUGUGCGGCUUGAGUCACGGAGGGGAAAUCGGAAUUCCUGGUGUAGGGGUGAAAUCUGUAGAUAUCAGGAAGAACACCGGUGGCGAAGGCGGAUUUCCAGCCGAUGACUGACGCUGAGGCGCGAAAGUGCGGGGAGCAAACAGGAUUAGAUACCCUGGUAGUCCGCACUAUAAACGAUGCACACUAGGUGUCGGGACGAGCGUCUCGGCGCCGGAGCGAACGCGAUAAGUGUGCCGCCUGGGGGAGUAUGCCCGCAAGGGUGAAACUCAAAGGAAUUGACGGAAUCGAAUUCC